rnacentral:lncRNA from 1 species
AUGCCUCUUCAGGUCAGGCAGCUAGAGCAGAGGGAAGACAGUGACGCAAGGGCUGGGCUCAGCCUGCUCCCGUAUCUCUGUGACUUACUGUGCAGCAGAUCUCAAAAUCCUGCAGAAUCUCCUCCUCCACUUGACAGAAACGUUCCCAUGGAGCUGGCAAGGACAUGGUGCUCCCACGCCAUGCUGAGGCUCGUCUUCCACCAGCAGGCCAGGAACCAAAGGCCUGAACAAACAAAGACUCAGUGGUUGGAGCCAACCCCGGCACCGUCGCACCAUCCCCUGGGACAGAGCCACGCAGGCUCCUCGAGACCAAGCUCAGCCGAACGCUCUGCUGAGGCCUGACGAACCAGCGUGACUUUACCGUGCCGGUUUGCAGAGCCGGGGGCGGCUGCCGGGCCGCGUUCCCACACCUGUGGGGCCA